UUUGGGGGGGUUCAUGGUCAUGGUUGUCAAUUGUACCGCAGGAAUGGAGCUUAAAUCACAGGAUAGAGGAUAGAUGUUGUGGGGGCAGCUGCAGAGAAGUAUUUGGGUGUAUGAGAUUUUACUGCAGAAGAGUUACACAAUGUUUUGAACGAUAGUGUCCUGUCUUCCAAGGCUGCUGGCCUGGAGUAGGAUCAGACAGGGCCAAAUUAGUGGAAUAGUGGUGAGGUUUUAGUGGGUGCAGUGUUAGUUGGUAUAGUGGUCAGGUUUUAAUGGGUGCAGGGUUAGUUGGUAUAGUGGGGAGGUUUUAAUGGGUGCAAGUGUAACCAAUGUGAAAUGGCUAGCUAGUUAGCGGUGGUGCGCGCUAAUAGCGUUUCAAUCGGUGACGUCACGCGCUCUGAGACCUUGAAGUAGUGGUUCCCCUUGCUCUGCAAGGGCUGCGGCUUUUGUGGAGCGAUGGGUAACGAUGCUUCGAGGGUGACUGUUGAUGUGUGCAGAGGGUCCCUGGUUCGAGCCCAGGUUGGGGCGAGGAGAGGGACGGACUAAAGUUAUACUGUUACACAAGGUUAGUUGGAAUAGUGGUGAGGUUUUAAUGGGUGCAGGGUUAGUUGGUAUAGUGGGGAGGUUUUAAUGGGUGCAGGGUUAGUUGGUAUAGUGGGGAGGUUUUAAUGGGUGCAGGGUUAGUUGGUAUAGUGGGGAGGUUUUAAUGGGUGCAGGGUUAGUUGGUAUAGUGGGGAGGUUUUAAUGGGUGCAAGGUUAGUUGGUAUAGUGGGGAGGUUUUAAUGGGUGCAGGGUUAGUUGGUAUAGUGGGGAGGUUUUAAUGGGUGCAGGGUUAGUUGGUAUAGUGGGGAGGUUUUAGUGGGUGCAGGGUUAGUUGGUAUAGUGGCGAGGUUUUAAUGGGUGCAGGGUUAGUUGGUAUAGUGGCGAGGUUUUAAUGGGUGCAGGGUUAGUUGGUAUAGUGGGGAGGUUUUAAUGGGUGCAGGGUUAGUUGGUAUAGUGGGGAGGUUUUAAUGGGUGCAGGGUUAGUUGGUAUAGUGGGGAGGUUUUAAUGGGUGCAGGGUUAGUUGGUAUAGUGGGGAGGUUUUAAUGGGUGCAAGGUUAGUUGGUAUAGUGGUGAGGUUUUAAUGGGUGCAGGGUUAGUUGGUAUAGUGGUGAGGUUUUAAUGGGUGCAGGGUUAGUUGGUAUAGUGGGGAGGUUUUAAUGGGUGCAGGGUUAGUUGUUAUAGUGGUGAGGUUUUAAUGGGUGCAGGGUUAGUUGGUAUAGUGGUGAGGUUUUAAUGGGUGCAGGGUUAGUUGGCACGUGCUCCGUUGUUUCCAUUUUGGUGAAAGGUUACGUCCUGCCUACUGUAGCAGAGGCGAAGAGAGAGAGAGAGAUGUCUGUAUUCUCCAGCAGGCGGUGUCACUCACCAAGCAAGGAGUUGUUGUAUGGAGGUGAAUCUAUGUCAAAUUUGGUUAACAAAAACGGUAUGGCUUAUUUGAUUGAAUAGAAGUUUCGUAAUGCUUAGGGUGUUCACACGCGUAUAGCUCUCAUUGGCUAGAAUGGCCCAACUUGAUCUUGCCUCCUCAUUGACUGCCUUCCAUUUUUGAAGACAUUUAUUGUUCAUUGUUAAGUUAAGAGUGGCCAGUGUGUGUGUGUGUGUGUGUGUGUGUGUGUGUGUGUGUGUGUGUCUGAACAAGUAUAAAACCAAGGUAGUUAAUUUACUGUCACCUGCAGUUAUGGAACGUUUCCUCAUGCGCAAAACACCCCAGGAGCGGGCGGGCAGAGAGGAUGGGAGUGGUAAAACCCCUACAGCUUGAACAUGGUUGCGAUUCUAGCUUGGCUGGUGGUGCAUUUGGUAGUUGACGAGAUUUGAUAAAUAACUGGUACUUCAAAUGAACGAAUCCCUGUCAGUUAUGUGUAGUAUCUGCAUACUAAUACCAUCAGUAUUAAGCUUUUGUUGAAAAGAAUAAAACAAAUAUAUAAACACAUAUAUAUAUAUAUAUAUACAAUUUUUAAAAUAUGGUUGCUUGCAACUUGGGGAAUAAUAUAUACAGUUUUGUACACCCUCAAAAAAAGUCUAACUUUUCAACAGAUUACAUUGAAAUAAAUUGUACAUUUUCACCUCCCUCUCUCUCUUUCAACAUCGCCAACUACACCUCCGAUGAUAGUUCUGGCUUUUGCUUUCACUGUAUGCUAGCAGGAUAGUCCAUAUCUCCAAUCUGCUUUGCUGGUAAAGCCUCAACCCAUAGCCUUUUUUUUUACAAGUACAAACUUUUUUUUGUGUGACAGAGAUAAAUUGCAAAAAUAGAGAAACGCUCUACUCGAGCAACUUUCUACUUGAGCGCAGCAGCAAGGCCGACAGAGCGUUAGCUGCCCACCCAACGGCUGCAGUUGGGUCAUUAUCAUUCAAAACAAUGUAUUCUAAAAUAAAUUGCACGAGCGCCUUCAGUGAGUUUAGGCCUUUAGGAGGAUAUUUCACUGAUUGAUCCCUCCCCAUGACCUAGAUAUACUGUUGCUAGCCACAAUAUACUGUUGCUAGCCACAAUAUACUGUUGCUAGCCACAAUAUACUGUUGCUAGCCACAAUAUACUGUUGCUAGCCACAAUAUACUGUUGCUAGCCACAAUAUACUGUUGCUAGCCACAAUAUACUGUUGCUAGCCACAAUAUACUGUUGCUAGCCACAAUAUACUGUUGCUAGCCACAAUAUACUGUUGCUAGCCACAAUAUACUGUUGCUAGCCACAAUUCUGACGUGUGCUCUGACAUCUGCUUCGCUGAUUUCUGCUCUCGUAAUAUCCUGGGUUUUCUGCACGUUAACGUGUGGUUUCACAGCUCCAUUUCAGAUGUGUUGGUCAUUACUGAGACGUGGUUAAGGAAGAGUGUUUUGAGUACUGAUGUUAACCUUUCUGGUUAUGACCUUUUUCGGCAAGACAGAUCUUCCAAAGGUGGUGGAGUGGCAAUCUUUACCAAGGAUCACCUACAGUGGUCAGUUGUCUCCAUCAAGUCUUUCCCCAAACAAUAUGAUUUGCUGGUUUUAAGCAUUAAACUUUCAAAUAGCUCUUCGUUGACUGUUGUUGGGUGAUAUUGUCCUUCAUCAGCACCGGCCUGUACCCUGCCCACCCUAAUCUCUCUCCUGGCCCCUUACACUAAGUCUGAAUUUGUCCUGUUAGGUGACCUAAACUGGGACAUGCUUAAACCAUCUGACCAAGUACUAAAGCAACGGGACUUGCUAAAUCUUUCUCAGAUUAUUACCAAUCCCACAAGGCAUGACUCCAAACAUCCAGAAAAGGCUACUCUCCUCAACGUUAUCCUCACAAAUAAUCCUGAUAGGUACCAGUCUGGUGUUUCCUGUAAUGACCUUGGUAGUGGUAUUGUUAACGAACACGCCCCCAUAAAGAAAAGUAUAAUUAAAAACCGGUUCAGCCCCUGGUUUGACCGUAAUCUUGCAGAGUUACUCCACCUUAAGAAUUGCAUUUGGUGAAAGGCUCUGCACACACAUACUCAGGCUGACUGGCUCUCGUUCAGGCAAAUGAGAAAUAAGUGCACUCAGGCUGUCCGGAAGGCUAAAGUUAGUUACUUUAAGGAGCAGUUCUCUCUCUGUGGGUCUAACCCCAAGAAGUUCUGGAAAACGGUGAAAUACCUGGAUAAUAAACUCUCCUCCUCACAGCUGCCCAUGUCCCUUAAUGUUGAUGAUGUGGUUGUUACUGACAAUCUUUAAUCACCACUUCAUUAAGUCAGGAAUCCUAUUUAACUCAGCCAUGCCUCCUUGCCGUCCAACAUUUCUUCAUCUCCCACCCCUUCUAAUGCAACUAUCCCAGAUGCUUCUCCCUCUUUUCCCCCUGACCCGCUACAAAGUUUCUCCCUGCAGGCAGUCACAGAGUCCGAGGUGCUAAAGGAGCUCCUUAAACUUGACCUCAAAAAAACAUCUGGGUCAUAUGGUUUAAGAUCCUCGUGUCGUCUUAAGGGUCAAAAAUGACCCGCCACUAUAUUUAACAGCAGAGAAAACCUCCUAAAUGAUAUUUUUUCAACUUGAAAUUGGUUGACUUUUCCUAGAGUGACCCCAACAUUAUAAAAAGUGAAACAUCGCCUUUGUUCCUAUUUCCAUUAAGGCUGUACACCACCUCGGUACAAAGGUUGUCUUAAGGGUAAUUUUUGACUCGGCAGUUAUACAAUAAUUUACACACCACAUAAACCACAAAGACACACACAAUGAGAAAUGUAGAUUAUGUGUACUACUGAUUUGAACUCUGCAAGCAGCUCCUGAACAGGAAGAUCACCAUGGUCGGCACAGUUAGAAAGAACAAGCCUGACCUCCCCCUGCACUUCUCGCAACAAGGCGAAGAGAGGCCUUCUCAUCAAUGUUUGCCUUCACCCCCACCACCACUCUAGUUUCUUACCUCGCAAAGAGGAAGAAGAAUGUGGUUCUUCUGAGCACACUGCACAAAACGGCUGAGACCAGUGAUCGUGAGGACAGGAAACCAGCCAUCAUCCUGGUCUACAAUCACAACAAAGAAGGGAGCGCCUCCCCCGUAAAGCAGCCUCUGCAGCGCUUGUGAAAGCUGUUCAAGGGGCUGAAUCUUGUCCUGAGCCACCUGAGGCUGCAGCUGGGGCAGUCAAGAGGAGGAUAUGCUAAUUCUGCCUUCCAAAGAAGGACUGUAAAACAAAUACUAUGUGCUGCACAUGCGAGAAAUACAUCUGCAAAGUCCAUGCACACACACUUGCAUACUGUCCUUCAUGUGCUAAUUAGAGUUGAUUGAUUUAUGUUCUUCACAUUUUUGUUUUGUAUCUGUUAUCUUAUUUUGUUCUUAUGUAUUGAUGUUGUUUAUGCACCUUGUUGGUGUGGGCAAUGGUUUUUAAAAAAUGGUAGAAGACUAGUAUUUUGUAGGUAAAUUCCUAAUUGAACAGUAUAUAAGAAUAUAUCACUAUGUUGCCAAAAAAGUUCAAUACUGUUAUUGUGUCCCUUCAUUAAAAUACAUUCAAACUA